rnacentral:lncRNA from 1 species
UGCAGGCAAGAGUGCUGGAGGGCGGCAGCGGCGACCGGAGCGGUAGGAGCAGCAAUUUAUCCGUGUGCAGCCCCAAACUGGAAAGAAGAUGCUAAUUAAAGUGAAGACGCUGACCGGAAAGGAGAUUGAGAUUGACAUUGAACCUACAGACAAGGUGGAGCGAAUCAAGGAGCGUGUGGAGGAGAAAGAGGGAAUCCCCCCACAACAGCAGAGGCUCAUCUACAGUGGCAAGCAGAUGUGAAAGACAGCAGCUGAUUACAAGAUUUUAGGUGGUUCAGUCCUUCACCUGGUGUUGGCUCUGAGAGGAGGAGGUGGUCUUAGGCAGUGAUGGACCCUCCAUUUUACCUCUUUACCCUGUCGCUCAUAAUGAGGCAUCAUAUAUCCUCUCACUCUCUGGGACACCAUAGCCACUGCCCCCUCCCCUGGAUGCCCAGUAAUGUAUGUCUACUGGUGGGAGACUGUGAGGAUCCCAGGAUUCAGUAUUCCUGGCCCAGAGGGCCCUUGCUGGCUACUGGGUGUUAGUUUGCAGUCCUGUGUGCUUCCCUCUCUUAUGACUGUGUCCCUGGUUGUCAAUAAAAUAUUUCCUGGC